rnacentral:lncRNA from 1 species
AGUGUUGCUCUGACUCCGAUCCAACCAACCCUCAAAGAUUCGCACCGCGCGGCACGCACCCAGCAGGUUCCAGCGUAAAAGCUGCUCCGGUCCCAAGCGCGUCUCCAAACCCCUCCUUUACAGCGCCGCCUCCCCAGCCAGCCCCGGUGCGCAGUGGCGAACAGCCCGCAGAGCCCCCAGGCUUACCUGUAGCAUGUGGUGAGCUCGCCUGAAGACUUCAGACACGGGUCCACGUGUGUCCCAACGCCAGGAGCAGCAGCAGCGGACCCAGGCUCCUGCCCAGCUGGCCCCUGGCAGCUCCUCCCCGGCUCGGAGGCGGCGGCACCAUCAGGGAAGCUCCCGGCUUCUUCCCAGCGCCGAGCUCCGUCCGGACCAAGCGUCCUGCUCCUCCGCGGCCGCCGCCGCCUUCCCUCUUCCCGGCAGGGGGCGCCGGAGAGCAGGGGCGUUUGCACCACCUGCACGGGGAGCAGGGGUCCGGAAUAUUAUGGGGCUGGGGGGAAAAUGAGGCUAGGAGUUGGGGUAUCGGAUGCAAACCCAGCAGAGAAGCAGGUAAAGGGGGUACCUGCGGUGUCCGGCUGGCGCGAGGGCCCUGAGGUUCAAGUUGUCUCGUCGGGACGUUCACGUCCGAUUGACAGACUUGCUGGACUCGGCUUGGGGCUGCGCCCUCGCCUCUUCCCUCUCCCUCCUCUGGGAGAAGCGCGCAGGGUGGGGAAAGCGGGCGGUUGUUUGCAUUUUGCACCAGGGUCUCACGACCGGGAGGAGGAGGAGCUGAUUCUCCACCGGGGAGAAGAGGGAGGGGGAAGAGAGGGGUUAAUAAGCUUCCUUCCUGUUGUCCAUGGGUUUCUAAAGCCCAGGGUCAGGCCAGUGUUCGUCUUUCCUCCGUGAGGACCUACCCUGAGAUUUGCAACUAUCUUAGUCUUCUUUUCUCUUAGAUUAUGUGAGGAAGGAGGAGUUGAAAGGCUACAACGGGCCUCUCAAAUUGUUCAAACCUGAAAUAGCGCUAUUUAUAUAGUGUAAUCACUCUUCCUUAAAACCUUUAGAAGAAAGUUCUCUGGUUGUUUCAUUGGUCAAUAAACCAUGCGCUGUCUUCUUCAUAACUCGAGUUCGGAACAAGUAAGGAGGUCUUUCUGGGAGCCUUACAUCUCCUUGUCCUGAGCGGCUUUAAUACUGUUUCCACGCCGCGCACAUCAGAGCUGGAAACGCCCCCCCCCAUCAAAUGAGACACGUGGGGGCAAAUUAAUUACAGGUGCUGCUACCUGCUAGUGUAUGCAGCCGCGUUGAUAGGUAACAAGAAAACGGAGGAGGGGGGCCGUAAAUCGGCUCCCUUGACGGUGACCCUAAUUGUAAUUCGUGUGUCAGCAACUUAACACUUUGUUGCGCUUUAGGAGUUUUCUCAGCCUUUUCCAGAGAAACUGGGGACGUGGAUGUGGCCCAGAAAUAAGUUGAAAAAGGAAAAGUUCUAAUGCCUAAGCUCUAAAAUAUGCGUGGUUCUGCAUCUCACAGGACAACGAGGUAAAAAGGUGGCUUGUUCACAAGUGACCGGUGUGUAAAUUGGUUAGGUAAGCACAUAUUUUGAUAUACAGAAUAUGCUGGUCAACUGAGAAUUACCACACAUAUCACAUACACAUUGACUUUUUUUUUUUUUUGAGACGGAGUCUCACUCUGUCGCCCAGGCUGGAGUGCAGUGUCUCGAUCUUGGCUCACUGCAACCUCCGCCUGCCGGGUUCAAGAGAUUCUUCUGCCUCAGCACCCCAAGUAGCAGGGAUUACAGAUGCAUGCUUCCACACCCGGCUAAUUUUUGUAUUUUUAGUAGAGACAGAGUUUCACCAUGUUGGCCAGGCUGCUCUUAAACUCCUGGCCUCAAGUGAUCUGCCCAACUCGGCCUCCCAAAGUGCUGGGAUUACAGGCGUGAGCCAUAGCAGCCAGCCCACACUGAUAUUUUUGAUAGCAAUGACAUUGUCAUUCUUCCGUAGAAUGCUAUGUCUUUUCCUAAGAUUUUUCAUAUUCAAGAUUUUAUUUGGUUCCCACAAUAUCCCUUCAAUCUGAGCAUCUGAUUUCUUAGUUCUGUGAGGUGUGUUUUUUGUUGGCUUAUUUUACAAAACUUACAUAUUCGGAAGACCACCCACUUGAUAUUAAAAUAUGACACUGCUACUUAACACAAAUGAGUUAAUUUUUAUUUGAUAAUUCAGAAGACAUUUCAGGAUGUUGCAAAACUGGAGAGUGAUCAUCAUGAGGUCAGAAAAAAAAAACCAUGAGGUCAGAAAAAACUGGAUUCAAACUCAGGCUGUUUGGUUUCCUGGAGGAGUGAUCUGAAGCAAUUUACUUCUGACACUCUGUUUUCUCAUCUGUAAAAUGGGGAAAUAUCUCUCAUCAAUUUUUAUGAGUAUUAAAUGAAGCAAUGCUUCUAUAGCAUUUUGUUUAUCAUGCCUGGCAUAUGUUGAGUGCCCUGUAAACAUUAUUACUUGUAACGUAAUUAUUGUAUUGCACAGAACUUUAAGUUUUUGCCUUCUAGCCUUCUAGCUUUUCACUUCCUAGAUAUAUAGGAAUCCACUUUAUAACAGUUGUUUGGGUUCCUAAAGACAGACCUCACUAAGCACAUGAGGAAGAAACCCCUUCUGGGGCUUAUGAUAAUUGUAUCUCUUCAGAUUGUGACAAAAAAGUGUUUGAUAUCCAUCUUGGAAGGGAGAGGCCAUCUUGUAAUCUGGUAGGAGGUUCUAUUUUUAAUUCCUUACCAAUUACUGUAUCUUGACAACUUGCUGUCUUUUUUCUCAUCUUUACGCAUUUUAUUCUUCUACUGUUGCAUUGUGGACGUUAGUUCUACAAGUAACAGAGCGUGGUAUAGGAGAUUAAUUAUCAGUUUCAUUAAAUAGUUACUAGGCCACAAGUGCAGACCUGCAGCAUUUCAGGGAAAGUGAUUCAGGCUGCAAAAUGAUAACAGCAAAACCAUUAUACACAGCUGUGUGGCAGAAGAUUGGCAUCAGAGCUGACUUUGCCACCUUUUUAUUUUCAGCUCCUGGUGCUGAGUGCCUAUGAGAAUAAGGGGUUAGAGAAGUUGCUGGGGCCCAGCAAACAGCUCAGGUUUGCACAGGGAGGAAAUCCCAACGGUGGGUGGUCAGAGCAUUUCAUACAUUUCUGUAAGAGGUGAUCUGGAGCCGAAACCUUCUGAAAAACCUUUGCCUAGAGGCCUGUAAUUUCAACCUACUGCCAGCUACUGACAGCAUGGGGUGCAGUGAGGAGUUGCUUGUCCGGGGAGCACUGCCAAGCCGGAAAGAGCUAUGGAUGGCCAUAUAUGGAUACCUGCCCCCAAAAAGCUAAAUACUCCUGUAAAAGACAAAAUCUGCAUUGCCCAGGCUGCGGGCUGCAUGGGAGAUGUCAGUGCUGGGGCUGACUGGUGGGAGCCUCAAGGGUGCUGAGUUUUCUUUCCUCCCUUCUAGACCAUGUGCAAGCCCAGGCCUGCCCUGUCCCCUCACCUAUGAAACACUGGCCUGAGAGAACAUGCCAUCCACCUCUUUCAUAGGAGUGUUACAAAGAUUAAUGAUAGGGCCCUAAAUGCUCCUUGGGGGAGGCCGUGUGUGAUUAUGUGAUUAUUUCUUUUCAGCAUACCACUCUCUGCAAAGUUUUUCAUAAAGAUCUGUCAGUUUCCCUGAAACAAACCAGAGAGCAGAUAGUUAUACAAUUUACUGUGUCCUGGGGAUGUGGGGCUGUGUCUGGGGCUUUCUAGUGCAUACUAUGUUAUAGGUUAGAAUCCCUGGUAGACCAGGUAUUGUUAAGUAGUACUGCUGCAUGUUGCCUGGGGGUGGGGUGACUGGCUGGAGAAUAGAGAGACGGCUGCGUACAAAAGUAAAGUGAAAGGAAAAAAGAAAAGUAAACACCAGGACACAGGGCAGAGAAUAUGCUUCUAAAUAAAAUCAGUUGUCUCUUCUCAGUUUUAAGGGACUCCAACAUCUUAUUUGAAGAAAAUCAGAAUAUAAAGAACAGACCACCACCAACUGGGACAAUUCAUUUCACCAUUUAAAGAUUUUCCUAUAAAAAGGAUUUGUGGUGGCUGACAAAAAAUAAACUAUUGUGUGUGUGUGUGUGUGUGUGUGUACAUAUGUACACAAAGUGUAUGUAGUAUAGGGCAAAAUUAGACAAAGAAAUUAAGGCAAAGGAAAAAUCAGGAUCAAACAGUAAAAUAAAGCUGAUGUUAUGUUAAUUGGCAGGGCUGUAUAAGCAGAAAGUCCUGGGCCACGUUUCAAGCAGAUCACAAGUCGGUUCUCAAAUUCUCAGAAGUCAACUCAGGAUAAUUACAUGAUCAGUCAUGAGAUUCAAGGUAACCAUAAAAGAAAAGCCUAUAAAUUGCUUGGAAAAAAUGACAGUUUGUUCCCCCGGUCUCCCUGAAAUAUAGCAACAGUCACCUAACUGUAAGGUAAGGUGAAACAAAGCUCAACAAGUGUGGGUAAAGUUCAUAUUGUACUGUGAGUGAUAGGCAUACGAUAAGAUAUCCCUAAAACAAAGAAUUGCCCUGAUACCUUUCCUUCAGUUUCAGUUUUGAUUGACGUAUAUAGGCAGGUCUGCUUAGAGAAUUAGGGUUACAUCUUGGAAGGUGUGAAAGUGUGCCAGUCUCCAAACCAUUGUGGGGGACUGUUUGAGGCAAGAAGAAUAAAAAAAAAAGUUUUUAAAACAGUAAAUGGAUGUUAAAGCCCUGGUUUUUGGGCGUGUAUAUUACCUUUUCACUAAGCCUGUCUUAGUUUUAACUUGCACAAAUUCUGAAAGUUGAUUGAAGCUGUUGGUCUCUGGAAUUUUCUCCCAAGGCAGGAAGAAAUGUCUGAUUCCUGUGUCCAUGACAGAAUCACACCAUUUUUGCCCAAUUUUGAAAUAAAAGCCAUUUUCAUAGAUUAGUUAGCUUUAUACUUGGGUAGGCCACUCAAAAAUGUACAAAUAGAAAAAAGAGAACCUUCUAGCUACAUGAUUAUCUCCAAAAAUAUCAAGAAAAAUUAUCCAUGUGAUUUGGAUGUCUUAUUUGGUCUGGAAAGUUGUAACACACAGGGGCCCAGUCUAGGUUUUCCCCCAAAUCAGUAUCUGUUGAGGCAAUAUGAGUUGGCAGUCUCCUUGACCAAUCAAGAGCUAUAGGAUCAAACCUGGGAUUUGGGGUGGAGAAGCGUGUUCUAACACCACUCAAUUCUGCAGCUCCCUUUGCAACAAAUAGCGAUGGCAGGAGCUGCAGCUGCUCUGACCCAUCUCUUGUCCCCAUGAGCAUGAACAAAGGAAGGACAAGGGGCCAGCAGCAGAUGUGGGGCCACUGGCUCAUGCUGUGAAGUCCCUGUUCUAGAAAAUGGAUUUGAAUCUCCCGAGGACUUAUGAGCUGACUCCUUUGAGUGUCUGUCAUUCCAAUGCUAGCAACAUCUCGUUUUAUUUUUGAAGAGCAAACCCUGUUUAUCUCCCUUAACUCGGCAAGGGUAAGAGUUACUUAAUGUUUAUUAAGAACUGGGAGAUAUUCACUCAGUAAUAUGGUAUCAAACCAAUUUGACAGGUAAUAAUGCUGACUUGGAAAGUGUUUUGAUUUGAGCCAAGAUAUCUUUUAUGGUGGAAUAAAAAUAAUUCUACUACCCAUGCCAGCAGAGGAUGCUAAUUUAAAACUUUUUUUUUUUCCUCUGGAUAUGAGGUUGACCUUACUUUCCUCUUUUAAAAACUGGACUUAGAGAAAUAGCACUGGGAGUUGGGAAAAAACUAGACUUAAAAGUAAGUUUUACUUUGGUUUGAAAUUCAGUUCUACCACCUAAUACCACUAUGACCCUGAAACAUUUGCUUCAUCUUCCUGGGACUCAGUUUAUCCACAGAUAAAACAGAAUGACAAUAUCCAUCUCAUAGAACUGAUGAAAAGAGUAAAUAGGAUCUAUAACAAGCCCAUCACAUCAGAGGUAAUAAAUGAUACCUAAGAUUAUUUUAGUUUUUAUCUUCAAUAAUUGGGAUGUAGUUAUGCUGGACCAUCCACCCUGUCUCAUCUUAUUUGCUUUCCAUGAAAGAUAACUUUGUGAAAUUGAUAGCUAAGGAUAGGACACCAUGUCAUAGAACAGCCUAAAAUAAAUAGCAGAAUUGACAUUGGUGUCAUUAACAUUGUGCUUAAAUCAGACAUUAGGGGGUGACUGAGUCUCUAAAUCAAAUCACCCAAUAAUGGUUGCUAGAAAAUAGAAUGCAUAUACUUCCUUUAGAGAAGAGCUGUGCUUCUGAUUACUGUCUGUCCUACUUUUACCUCAUUGUUUAAAUGUUUGAGAGGCUACCUAGUUAAAACCCAGCUGUGAUCAAUUCUAUUUUUCAUUUAUUUAUUUUAGAGACAAGAUCUGGCUCUGUUACCCAGGCUGGAGUACAGUGGUGCAAUCAUAGCUCACUACAGCCUCCAACUCCUGAGAUCAAGCGAUCCUCCCACCUCAGCUUCCCAAAGUGCUAGGAUUACACACGUGAACUACGGCGCCUAGCCUGAUCAAUUCUAGAGAGGCAAAAAUAACUCUCUUCAAAUCUAUCCACUAGUGACAUCAUGUUCUGUUGAGCUUUUCUUACUGGGUGACAUCGGGAAAGUUUGCAACAGUGUAAGGGGCCCCAGCCUAAGGAGUCCACAAUCUCCUUGAAGAGCAGCUGUGUUUAAAGGAAACAGCAGUCCAUACUGUGUAGAAAAAUCUCAGAGUUCAGGUUUUAAAAGUUGUUAGUUUUUUUUUAAGUCGUUAAAGAUUCUAAUAGAAUGUGGAAUGCAUUUCUUAAUGAAAAUAGAGGCCUGUGGGCCAGGCACAGUGGCUCACGCCUGUAAUCCUAGCACUUUGGGAGGCUGAGGCAGGCAGAUUGCCUGAGCUCAGGAGUUCAAGACCAGCCUGGGCAACAUGGUGAAACACUGUCUCUAAUAAAAUAUAAAAAAUUAGCUGGGCAUGGCGGCAUGCACCUGUAGUCCCAGCUACUCGGGAGGCUGAGGCAGGAGAAUUGCUUGAACCCGGGAGGCAGAGGUUGCAGUGAGCCAAGAUCAUGCAGAUGCAUUCCAGCCUGGAUGACAGAGUCAAACUCCGUCUCCAAAAAAAAAAAAAAAAGAAAGAAAGAAAAUAGAGGCCUGUGGCUCUAUUUUCUGAGGCAGUGGGCACAGUUACUCACACCUGUAAUCCCAAUACUUUGGGAGGAUGAGGCAGGAGGAUUGCAUGAGCCCAGAAGUUCAAGACCAGCCUGAGCAACAUAGAAUCUGUUUCUACAAUAAUAAUAAUAUUAGCUGGGUGUGGUAGUGCACACCUGUAGUUCCAUCUGUUCAGGAGGCUGAGGUGGGAAGAUCGCUUGAGCCUGAGAAUCUGAGGCUGCAGUGAGUCAUGAUCAUGCCACUGCACUCCAGCCUGAGCAACAGAACAAUUAAGAAAACAAACAACAAAAAUAAUAGAGGCCUGUUCAUGAUAUAAUGCCAAGAAAGCUAUAUUCCUAUAAGCUUUUAAUGGAUGAUGAUAAUUUUCCAAGAAUUUGGAACAACAAAUAAAGAAUAACAAAUAUUUAUUGACCAUUUGGUACAUGUAGACAUUAUUCUAAGCACUAUUCAGGUAUUAUCACAUUUAAGCCUUAUCAAAAUCUUCUGUCACUGAUUCUAUUAUUGUCUGCAUUUUAAAGAUGUGGAAACUGGUGGGGCGCAGUGGCUCACACCUGUAAUCCCAGCACUUUGGGAGGCCGAGGCUGAACAGAUCACUUGAGGUCAGGAGUUCGAGACCAGCCUGGCCAAAGUGGUGAAACCCCAUCUCUACUAAAAAUACAAAAACUAGUUGGGUGUGGUGGGCAUGCCUGUAGUCUCAGCUACUUAGGAGGCUGAAACAGGAGAAUUGCUUGAACCCGGGAGGCAGAGGUUGCAGUGAGCCAAGAUCACACCACUGCACUCCAGCCUGGGCAACAGAGCAAGACUCCAUCUCAAGAAAAGGCAAAUAAAAAUAAAGAUAUGGAAACUGAGGCAGUGAUUUUAUUAGAUCCCUAAGGUACAGUUAUAAGGGCAGUUUCGGCACCAGAGCUCACGCUGUCAUCACUACACUAAACUGUCCUUUGGAGAAGUAAGCAGCUAGGUAGUUUUUGCCUAAGAGAUAGACUGCAUCCAGUAUGUUUGCCCAGGGACAUAAUGCAAACCAGGGAAGGCCCAUGGUCCACCACCAUAACCAGUAACCCUGACAUUGCCUGAGUUAGUGCUCAGGCACAAUCUUCUUUCUGCAGUUCUGUUAACCAGCUGGCCCCAUAAGUUCCCACCUCUGUAUAUUAGCCCCAGAGCUCUCUGCAGCAAAGCUGAGCUAUAUCCAUUGGACCUGUCUUCCUAGAGGCAAACAAUCACUGAUUUACAUGGGAAUGCUGGCAUGAGAAGAAUGAGAUGAGGUUUCACAACUUGUGGAGUUCUGGCACUUUUGCAAACUGUCCUUCCAGUUCUAUCUCCGGCCCAGAAACAGGUUUUUAUCAGACCUAGAACUCUCACAAAACUAGGAGAUUAUGAAGACUACUCACAGAGAGCAUUUCUGCAAUCACCACAAGGAAAUACCUAGGCAAAAUGUUUUAAAAACUUCAGAGUACAGCAUAGUCCUGUGGAACCUACUUCUAAUUGUGAAUAGAAAAGGGCAAGCAGUUGCAACCAGGUUUUGCUCCAGAUGGUUGGAAGAUCUUUGCAUUGAUCUCUCUGUUCCUCCCCUCACACAUCCCAACAACACACAAACACAACUCUUGGAGGUUGUUGACUUGUCUGCAGUGAAUGGUUUAAGAUCAGCAUGGUUUUGCAUUCUUUGGUCCUAAUCUUUACCAGCAAUGCAGGAUCCCAAAGGAACGCCAGAUAAAAUGAGCUGACUUGGUUUAGUUUCACUUAAUUGUUUUGCAUCCCUUUUUGUUUGUGGUAGAUCAGGGUAAUUGUUGACCAUCUUUCUGCUUGAUUAGUGAUGUUUAAACCUGAACCUAUCUUUCAGUGAUGUUUAUUUGGUUUGAAACCUCUGAUGAGCGUCAUGAUAAUUAGAAAGCGAGUUGAGACUUAUCGAAGCUUCUUUCAGUUCCAACAUUUAUCUGGAGUAUUAUUAUAAUAAACCUGGAAGUGAUGUGUGUAUAUGCAAUUUGACAUGUAUCUGGCUCUCACAUCUUUACGUCCUGAUAGAAGGCUAAUGGGCCUAAUGGGCCCUGACCCUGUGUGUCAGUUACCUGUCAUUAAACCCUCGGAUUGACCUGCUUUGAGGUCGAUUCCCUCUCAGGCUGGCGUCACUCCCUGGACAGUCGUCCCAGACUUCCUUUCAGGUCUUUUUCUCUACUUUCUGCUUUUUGCUUGUCUUCCUUUCUGUUCCCUCUUCCAUCAAUCAUUUUUGCUGUCACUCCUUCUAUGGUGAGACUUUUACCUACCAGCUUUCUCUUUCCUCUGGCUUUAUGAUCUAUUCUCUGCUAUUUUCUGUUAGCUACACUGCUCUUCCUUAAAGUGUAUCCCUACUCCUUCCCCAAUCCUAUUUCUUCCUCUGAAUCAUUGGUUCUCAACUGAGGGGCAAUCUUGGUACCCAGUGGAGAUUUGGCAAUGUCUGGAGAGAUUUUUAGUUAUGACGACUGGGGGUGGGGGUAGUGACUUUACUUGCUAGCAUCCAGUGGGUAGAGGCCUGGAAGCUAAUGAACAUCCUACAGUGCACAGGGUGGCCCCUCCCCCCACGGUGACACAACAAGGAACUGGCUGGCUCAAGAUGUCAAUAGAGCCAAGCCUCAGAAGUCCCAGGCUACACAGAUGUCUAUCCACCUCUCAAUGGGAGUGUUUUCUCUCCUGGUUCCAAAUCGCAGUUGCUUAAUCCUUUCUUUCCCCAGGCCGGGGCUUUAGUGUGUUCCCAUUCACUUGUUAUUGCUCUUCCUUGCCACCGGAUCCUUCUUGACUGAACAGUCCUUACACCUUCACACUUGCCCUGAUCUCACCCCUGAGACUUAGUGUAGCAGCUACUUUAUCAAUCAGCUGCCCUGGAGUGACCUGAGGAGCUACAAAAAUAAUUUUCUUAGAAUUCUGUUUAUUUUCCAGUUUUUCACAAAUCCAGUGCAGUGUUGUUGUUGUUAUUGUUGUUUUUGCUUUGUUUUGUUUUGUUUUCCUGAAACAGCAUCUCACUCUGUGCCCAGACUGAUGUGCAGUGGCGCAAUCAUAGUUUACUGUAGCCUCAAGUUCCUGGGCUCAGGCAAUCCUCCUGCCUCA